rnacentral:sRNA from 1 species
UCCUUUAACUCUUUUGGAGAUAAAAUGAAAUUCAACAAAGUUUUCGUUAUUGCAGCUUCAAUGCUUGUGGCCAUUGCUUCGGUUGAAGCUAGACCCGAGCCCAAACCAGAGCCAUUGCCUGAGCCUAUUUUAGCCAUUGUUACUGAUCUGCUUGGCGGUCUUCUGGGAGGCAGAUAAAGGAAUUCAUUAAAAGCGAUAACCAAAAUUUUGUAUAAUUGAAAUGGACGAUUUUAAAUAAAAAUUCUAAACUAAACAAA